rnacentral:rRNA from 1 species
UACGUAGGGGCCUAGCGUUGUCCGGAUUUAUUGGGCGUAAAGAGCUCGUAGGCGGUUUGUCGCGUCGGCUGUGAAAUCUCGGGGGCUCAACCCCGAGCCUGCAGUCGAUACGGGCAGACUAGAGUGCGGUAGGGGAGACUGGAAUUCCUGGUGUAGCGGUGAAAUGCGCAGAUAUCAGGAGGAACACCGGUGGCGAAGGCGGGUCUCUGGGCCGUAACUGACGCUGAGGAGCGAAAGCGUGGGGAGCGAACAGG